UACGUCCAUAUCGUGUUGAAACACCGGUUCCCGUACGAUCACCGAAGGUAAGCAACGUCGUUCUUGGUCAGUACCUAGGUGACCGCUUGGGAAUACCGGGUGCUGUAAG